rnacentral:SRP_RNA from 1 species
GCCAGGUGUGGUGGUGCACGCCUGUAAUCCCAGCUACUCAGGAGGCUGAGGCAGGAGAAUUGCUUGAACCUGGGAGGCAGAGAUUGCAGCGAGCCAAGGUCACGCCACUGCACUCCAGCCUGGGUGACAAAGCGAGAUUCUGUCUCAA